GCAGAGGGAACAGCAAGAGUCAAGUUCCUGAGGCAAGAAUACCCCAUGACUGUUCAAAACAGCAAGAACCCAGUGAGGAUGGAGCGUAGUGAGCAAGGAAGACAGAGGAGGGGGGUAAGAUUAGAGGUCUUGGCAGUAGGGGAAGGUGUUCAUACAAGGACCUGUGGGGUGCGGAGAGGUGUUUGAAUUUUAAGCUAGGUGUCAUCAGAGACUUUGAAGGAUUUCAUGAAAGCAAUCCUUUUAAUGGCGUCAGCCCACCCUCACUGUAGGGAAUAUGUAUUGCUGGAUUUCACUCUCUUGCUUUUGUACUUAACCUCCUCGGACUUCAGGUUCUGAGAGUUCUUUAUUCUACAAACCGAUUCGUAAUGCCUGUCCUUCAAACCUCUCCUGUUUUGAUGAUGACCAUGAUGAUGAUGAUGAUGAUGAUGGUGGUGAUAAUGAACAGUUACCAUGAGCCAGAGACUGUGCUCAGGAAAUUAUAACUCCUCACAACAACCCAAUGAGUAAGUGACAUAGGGCAACCAAGGACUUCACUUGUUCCGUAUCAAGGGACUUACAGAGAGGACUCAUCUGAUUGAGAGCUUACAUAACUAAAAUCAAAUCUGCCCAAGAGCCAACUUAUAGAGUAACUGCCUUCUGCUUUCCAAGGUGUUGUGAUUAGAUUACCAAAUAAACUAAUCCUGUGUUAAUACUUCAAAAUUCUAGCCUCACAGAGAAUGUUAAAUCAAGGGAAAAAGAAUGAUAGGGUUUACCUGAGUAAUAUAUCCAAGAAAAUAAAAAUCCUGAAAUUCUCAAA
rnacentral:lncRNA from 1 species